GGUAUGCGGCUACGAGGCGACGGU
rnacentral:siRNA from 1 species